GAACUGAAGAGUUUGAUCAUGGCUCAGAUUGAACGCUGGCGGCAGGCCUAACACAUGCAAGUCGAGCGGAUGACGGGAGCUUGCUCCUUGAUUCAGCGGCGGACGGGUGAGUAAUGCCUAGGAAUCUGCCUGGUAGUGGGGGACAACGUUUCGAAAGGAACGCUAAUACCGCAUAC
rnacentral:rRNA from 1 species